GUUUGAUCCUGGCUCAGGAUGAACGCUGGCGGCGUGCCUAACACAUGCAAGUCGAGCGAAGCACUUUGCUCCGAAUCUUUCGGGAGGACGAGUGAUUUGACUGAGCGGCGGACGGGUGAGUAACGCGUGGGUAACCUGCCUCACACAGGGGGAUAACAGUUAGAAAUGACUGCUAAUACCGCAUAAGNNCACAGUGUCGCAUGACACAGUGGUAAAAACUCCGGUGGUGUGAGAUGGACCCGCGUCUGAUUAGGUAGUUGGUGAGGUAACGGCUCACCAAGCCGACGAUCAGUAGCCGGCCUGAGAGGGUGGACGGCCACAUUGGGACUGAGACACGGCCCAAACUCCUACGGGAGGCAGCAGUGGGGAAUAUUGCACAAUGGGGGAAACCCUGAUGCAGCGACGCCGCGUGAGCGAAGAAGUAUUUCGGUAUGUAAAGCUCUAUCAGCAGGGAAGAAACUGACGGUACCUGACUAAGAAGC
rnacentral:rRNA from 1 species